GUGGAAUGUUCCAGAAUGGAACUCACGUCGGAAGUUCUUGUAACCUUCGGUAAAUCACUGACCAGUGGCUAAAGAGACCACUGACUGACUGACUUUCCUCCCUUUCAGCUGCUCCAGUUGUGCAUAGACCACUGAAACACCACCUGAUGUGGUGGAAGUUCUCGAACCAGAUCAGAACGCCUUCGAGGACCACCUUCAGGCACGGUUUUGACCAGGUGAGACUGAACAUCGACAAGGAGCAGGAGAAACAGAAGGCCAGCUCCUGGAGCAGAAUCAAGAAGGGGACCAAGUGCUACGAUAUCCGGGCGAAUUACUUGGUUUGGAAGAAGGAUGAAAGGAAGGCGAGACCUGGGAAACGUUGCUGCUCUUUUGCUCCUAGCUUGGAUCACCAUCUGUUAAUAAGGUGAAUAUUAAAAAAAAAUCGCAGAACUAUUUGCAUUUGCACACAAAAUAACCUGAAGCUAGUUUUAGUUUCCCUAACACUGAUAUUUUUCUGUCUUCGUAGGGCUACCUCGAUGGAAGCUCACAAUCUUCUCCAGU